CCUACGGGAGGCAGCAGUAGGGAAUCUUCCACAAUGGGCGAAAGCCUGAUGGAGCAACGCCGCGUGGGUGAAGAAGGUCUUCGGAUCGUAAAACCCUGUUGUUAGAGAAGAAAGUGCGUGAGAGUAACUGUUCACGUUUCGACGGUAUCUAACCAGAAAGCCACGGCUAACUACGUGCCAGCAGCCGCGGUAAUACGUAGGUGGCAAGCGUUAUCCGGAUUUAUUGGGCGUAAAGGGAACGCAGGCGGUCUUUUAAGUCUGAUGUGAAAGGCUUCGGUUUAACCGGAGUAGUGCAUUGGAAACUGGGAGACUUGAGUGCAGAAGAGGAGAGUGGAACUCCAUGUGUAGCGGUGAAAUGCGUAGAUAUAUGGAAGAACACCAGUGGCGAAAGCGGCUCUCUGGUCUGUAACUGACGCUGAGGUUCGAAAGCGUGGGUAGCAAACAGGAUUAGAUACCCGAGUAGUC
rnacentral:rRNA from 1 species